UUUUUUUUUUUUUUUUUUUUUGAGACGGAGUCUCGCCCUGUCCCCCAGGCUGGAGUGCAGUGACGCGAUCACUGCAAGCUCCGCCUCCCGGGUUCCCGCCAUUCUCCUGCCUCAGCCUCCCCGGUAGCUGGGACCACAGGCGCCCGCCGCCACGCCCGGCUAUUUUUUUGUAUAUUUUAGUAGAGACGGGGUUUCACCGUGUUAGCCAGGAUGGUCUCUAUCUCCUGACCUCGUGAUCCGCCCACCUCGGCCCCCCAAAGUGCUGGGAUUACAGGCGUGAGCCACCGCGACCGGCCGGAAUUUUUUUCUUAUUAGUGGGAGAAGAGGAGGAGAGUGAGCUUUUAUUUUCUUCACCUUAACUGGAAGCCUGGUUGAGAUGAGAAGCUUCUUACCUUAACAAUACCCAGUUGACAGGAGAAAAGAAGGCAGCUCAACCUGGCUAAGCAACGCGCUCAAAGUCCCUGUGGUGAUGAUGGGCUGGGAUUCCAUGCCACCUCUAUCCAGUGUGAAAACCCAGUCCUUUAAAAUGCAUUGUGCUUUUUUACUGCUUAAUGUUUACGGAAGUGUGUUUUGCCUACAUCUAGAAUCAAAUUAAAAUCAAAUUAGAAGGGAUGCUUACAAUUUUGGGAGGAUUAAUGUUUUGAAGAUAACAUAUCUGUCUUACCUCUAAGUUUUAUGGGGAAAGGCAACAUUCAUCUCAUAAGUUUGCAGGGUUUUUAUUCAGAAAAACAUCUUUGUAUAUCUUGAUUGAAAAAGACAUGAACUUUUGGGCACAGUCUAGGUUGAGUAAGUCACUGUGAUGAGCUGAACUGCACUCCCCUCCACCAAUUUAUGUAUUGAAGCCCUAAUUCCCCAGUACUUUAGAGUGUGAAUAUAUUUGGAGACAAGGUCUUUAAAGAGAUAAUUAAGGUAAAAUGAGGUUGUUAGGGUGGACCCUCAUCCAAUACGACUGGUAUCCUUGUUAAGAGGAGAUGAGGACACAGACAUGUACAGAGGAAAGACCAUGUGAAAACGCAGGGAGAAGACACCAUCUGCAAGCCAGGAUGAGGGGUCUCAGAAGAAAUCAACCCUGCCAACACCUGAGCUCACACUUCCAGCCUCCAGAACUGUGAGACAAUAAAUUUCUGUUGUUUUACUCAGUCUGUGGUCAUUUUUAAAUGGCAGCCCUAGCAAACUAAUACAGACAUCUUUUUAAAUAAGUAGGGAGAACACCCAAGGAAUGGGACGGUGCUGUCAAGAGGACAUGGAGAAGAAAACUCUUGAACCAAGGAGGACUUAGAAACACGGAGGAGGACCUGGAUGUGCCCCCAUUUAUGAUGGCGCUAGAGCCAGUGGCUUCUCUCUUGCUCGCUCUAGCUGUCUUUUCUUAAGCUCUGGGAAAGUGGUAUUUAGCUCUCAAUUUCCAGGGCUCUCAUUCUAUAUUUUGCCCCAGGGUUGUCACUAAAUCCAGUUUGGUCAGCAUUAGGUAAGUAGCUCUUUGGGUGACUGAGUGGGGUGGAGUGAUGUCCAAUAAACAUCAAGGCAUAAUGGGCAGAGCCACAGGAACCAGGACAUGGCAUGGAGCGAGCCGUGGCUGGUCCAGAGCAGGUGCAGGUUUGUGGUGGGGAGGUGUGUAUGUGCAGUGCUCAGCUUGCCACUACGAAAGCUCUUCACUUGAGCUACCAUGUGCAGACAUUGAAGAAAGGAGAGCUGAAAGACAUAGGGAGCAUCUGGCUUAUACCUAUGAACUUAUAAUUCCAUACAAUUUUUAUUUUACUUUUAAACCAACACCCCUCCCCUUUCUAAGAACCACUCUUGGUUAUCAAUGUGCUGGUUGUUAAUAUGAACCUUCUUCCAAUAACUGCAUGUAAUUAAAAAUAAUGAUCCAUUUCUUCAUGGAUGCUCUGUGUUAAAAUGUUAACAAAUUUCCCGUCAAAAUUUCUCCCCCUCCUACUUUUGCCUGAAAGAGAGAAAUUUCACAUAUUUUGGAACCUACGAAGGCUUUCCUUUUUUGGUAUCUGGAGUUUAGUCUUCCAUUGGCAAAAUCAUCUUAGUUAUUCUAGGACUAUCGCAUCUUCAAUUUUAGCCAUGGAGCUCAGCUUAGACGGUGCUUCCCAGAUUGUGGUGGUCCUAUCACUAGUGUCGUGUAAAGUCAUUUUAUAUGGGAAAAUAAAAACUAAAAUUUUGGUGAUGACUCACUUAUUUUAAAUGUUUUAAAAUUAUUUUCAAUACAUCAAAAUUAUUAUUUCAUGAAUUGCAGUUUAGCUAAGUUUAAGAAUCAAUGAAUUGAAUAAAAAAUUAAAUAAAAACAGUACAGGUGUAAAGAGCAAAUACAAUUUUAAAAUAAGAGACUGACUUCUCCCUGUUGAAAAUAAGAAAAAUAAAGAAAGAGAUACCUCCUUCCUUUUCUUAGAGCACUUUAGAGAUUUCCUAAUUGUAAUUGUUUUUCUCUGUCUCUUUGAAAUGUAUGUAAAUCUCUUUAAAAGCUAAAGAAGUCUUUUCCAGCUUUAUGACCAGGAAUGUCUUUUCUUAUGAACCUGGGACUCAUCCUUUUGGAAUAUCGUUUACAAGGAAGAUGGCUGCCCUCUCUCCCAGCUUCUGUGAAAAGGUGAUGGAGAUGAGAAGGAAAUGCUCGUCAUCAUUAGUUAUGAAAGAAACAAUGUCUGCAGUCCAAUACACUGACUAAAUCUAGACCCAAGUUUUCUUCCUGUAAAAAUGGAUAUCAUAUCUAAAGGUCAAGAUCAAUUGUGAGGAAAUGUGUGAAGGCACUUAGACAAACUGCAUUAAGAAUGCACCUGCCUGAGGGUGGGGACCAUAUCUGUUUUGUUCACCUCAACAAUCCCGGUAUCUGCAAGAGUGCUGACACAUAGGAGCUUCUCAAAAACAAUUCGUAAAUGAGUGAGUGAGCAAGUGAAUGAAUAAUUAUUUUUAUGAGGGUGGGGAAUUUUUGUAGUCAUGAUGGUUCCAACAAAAAUAAAAAUGAGAAAAUUAUAUCAAA
ensembl:lncRNA LINC02826 long intergenic non-protein coding RNA 2826